UACGAGGGGGGCAAGUGUUGUUCGGAAUCGCUGGGUGUAAAGGGUGCGCAGGCGGGCUUGUGCGUCAGAGGUUAAAUCUCACGGCUCAACCGUGAAACUGCCUUUGAUACGGCAAGUCUUGAGUGUGGGAGAGGAUGGUAGAAUUCCUGGUGUAGCGGUGAAAUGCGUAGAUAUCAGGAGGAAUACCAGUGGCGAAGGCGGCCAUCUGGCCCAUAACUGACGCUCAGGCACGAAAGCGUGGGUAGCAAACAGG
rnacentral:rRNA from 1 species